CUAUUUAUUGGUGAUAAUCAAUAUGCUAUUUGGAUCUGCUGUCCUCUGUAGGUCAAGUUUUUUUUUUUUCUGUGACUUCAUUUGAUGCAGUCCCAGCCACGGUCCACCGUCCAUCGGGGAGUUUCCAGCUGGGUUCGUGUGAGGAUUCCAGAGAUCCAGAGAGAUUGUUUCCAGAGUCCAUAGAUUCCCAGUGUGAGCCGGGUGGCGAGCCACAUCGAAACUACUGACAUUGAACUGAGAGUGGUGAAGGAUUCCUUCAUUCCCCUUCCUCACGGACUGUGUGGACCAUUCAAAGAGCACUGAAAAAUAAUCCAAAGUGACUACUCAGUCAUUCCUUUCAUGUGGCAACUUAAAGUGAGAAUAAACUGAAACUACCUGCGUAACAUCACUGAUCUCAGGAGGAUGGGAACCUCAAGCCUGGAUAAGAUUUUCUGAGUGGAAAGGGUGUCAGGUUGCAGCCUCUGUCAGUUAACAGCACAGGUUCAUUUGUGCUGUGGAAACAGCUCUGACCCCUGGACCCCACAAGACCUGUGAGACUGUCUUGUGGAGUCAAGCAGCAGAUUCUGAUGGUCCUGGAAGUUGUGAGGUGGGGCCUCCACGGAUCUGAUAGAUCCCACAGAUGUUUUGUCGGACAGAGACUGGGGGAAUUUUGGAGGCCAAGUCAACACCUUGAACUUUUUGUCAAGUUUAAAAUAUGCCUGAACCAUUGUGAAGGAGUCAUUAUGCUGCUAAAAGGGGCCACUGCCUCUGAGAGGACACCAUGAGGGCAUGAACAUGGUCUUCAUCAAUGUUUGGGUAGAUGGUGUACACAGAUCAGGCAUAACAUUAUGACCACUGACACAAGUAAAUAACACUGACCAUCUUCUGACAAUUCAAUGAUUCAGUG